rnacentral:misc_RNA from 1 species
UCCUGGUUUCCCAGGCAGUCCCAUCAGAGUGCUUGGCUUUCACCAAUAGCAACUGACAGCAGGGGUUGCGCUCGUUAGAGGACUUAACCCAACAUCUCACGACACGAGCUGACGACAGCCAUGCAGCACCUGUGAAUCUGUCUGAACCGAAGCCCAGAAGAUUGCGUUUCCGCAACUGUCAAAAACAUGUCAAGCCUAGGUAAGGUUCCUCGCGUAGUGUCGAAUUAAACCACAUGUUCCACCGCUUGUGCGGACCCCCGUCAAUUCCUUUGAGUUUUAAUCUUGCGACCGUAGUCCCCAGGCGGAUCACUUAACGCGUUAGCUACGACACUAAUUCCGUAAAACGGAACUAACGUCUAGUGAUCAUCGUUUACAGCGUGGACUAC